GAUCUCGUGGUGUAGUGGUUAUCUCAUCUGUCUAACACACAGAAGGCCAGCGGUUCGAACCCCCCCGAAAUCA
rfam:Pristionchus pacificus strain PS312 contig13150, whole genome shotgun sequence.